rnacentral:lncRNA from 1 species
AUGUUUCUGUGGGGUCACCAAAGGUCAUUCAUUAGACCUCAUAGGGACUGGUUUCUGUCUGCUGCUUCUCUGUGGAUCUUCCUCACCUGCAGACCAUCAGCUCCAUUAGCUGCAGCUGCUUAAGUAUCGGCUGGGUCUGUGGUGGAGUGACCUGACAGCGGUGUGGAGAUGGCUUGUGGAGUACUCGUGGGGAUCUGGUUGCUUCUUGUGCAAGCAGAGCAUGGGUGUUCCUGGGCCACAGCAGCACCAAGCUCCCAGAACGCUGACCAACGUGUUGGCUUCCAGCAGCCGGAUGGCAGACUGAGGACACUCGGUGGCCCCCCCCAGAAGCCGCUCAGACAAGUUGUCUCUUCUCCUCGCUCCGCCUGGUGGAGCAGCUCCGGCGCUCGGCCUGCAGCUGAUGGCGGUUCUGGUCCAGGAGUCGGUCCAAACGCAGAAGCUGCUUCCCAGACAGAGCCAAGUCCAGAGCAGAGCAGCCUGCUUCCAAAAUCGGACAAACAAGGGAAAUAUUCAAGCACGAUUAAAGUGCAGACUCGGACUCAGAAGUUUGGUUCUGCUGCUGUUCCCAGAGGAGCUUCUGUGUCUCUGGACCAUCAGAACUGGAGGGACCGCGCUGGAACUGGACUGUUUCCGAGUUCACUGCACCUGGGCAAACCUCCACCCAGCAGCUCCACAUCUGGUUCCGGUUCUUCUGGGAAGAGCCCGUCCUUCGGUGGGUCUGCACAGCAGGAACCUUCCAGCUCCUUCAUACGCCAGGCUUCUGCUUCGCUGUUCAGUCCAGUUGGACCAGCACCACCAGACCAGAGAGUCUGGAUGCAGACGUACGCUCGAGCUCCUGCACGCAAAAAGACCCCACAGCGUGGAGCUAAAGCUGCAAGCCUGUCCUCUGAGACUAGAAACCCCGGGAGCAGGCCCGGUUCUGAGACCGGGCCAAAACCCGCUGGAAGCUACAAACCCAAGAUCCUGAGUGUGGAGCGGCCGGCUCCGGGCUUCCUUCCAGCUAAAGUCUACGACAUCCCGCAGCCCUUUGGUGGGUGGGCUAUUAGACGGCUUGGACACUCAGACCAGAACCAGCUGGAGGUCCAGAAACCCAAGCUGAGGCCUGCACCUCCUCCAGAGCGGACCCAGGGUCCACAGCAGAAGGACCUCCUCAAGGCCAAGGUCCCAAGUCUUCAUCCAGAGUCCAAAUGGAGAAGAGUGAAGCUGCGUCCCAAACUGUAGUAG